GAGGGAAGACGCCUCCACCCUCUCUCCCGCAAGAAGUGACGUCAGUCGCGUGGGAGGACAAUGGCGAGAAGAGGGGACCUGAGAAUGCCUACACUCUGACCGGGGGGAUUUCCUCCCAUAUUGGAUCACGAUAGAACUGCACAGAAAGUCCAUGCUCAGUUUCUUCCAUGGUUACAGAACACAGGCCCCAGACCAGGAAGGCAUCUUGCUAAAGAAGGGGACCCGAAACCUCAGCUACCAGUGCCCAUGGUUCAUCCUCCAAGGAAACCUCUUCUACCUAGAACACCAGACCCAUCAUGCACCCCUGGGCCUCAUCCCGUUGGAGAACUGCCAGGUGGAGCUACACCUUAAGAACCCUAUGCCUUUACCAUCCUGACUCCUGGGGUGGGCAGGCCUACAAGCUGGCUGCAGAAACCCAGGAAAACCUGGAGACUUGGCUGUGGGCACUGGCUGGUGUAAGCUGGAGGUGGCUGGCUGGGCUGCUGCCCCCACUCAAGACCUAAUACCGGGAGCUGUGCCAGGCAGCUGGCCAAGAACCCAUCUCAUGCCCAGAGGACAGUGGCUUUCUAGCCACCAUGAGGGCCCACUCCAGCUUCCAGGAGUUGCAUGAGCACUUUGGGAAGCAGAUCUGGGUGCUGCAGGUGGUACCUAGAGAGCUCCAGGCAGCCAGUGACAAUGGAGACAGCACAUCCCAGGCAAAGCUGGAGUAGGAGCUCAACCAGUGUCUGAUGAGUGACUUGAGAGAUGUACCCAAAGCCAAGAGAUACCUACUUGCCAAGGCAGCAGACUGUUUUAACAGAGAGCCAGGUCCUGGCUGUCUCUCCCUUCCCUCCCUCAUCCUUACCCCACCCCAACCCCCAUCAAGUAACAAGGCAGGAGACAGACUCAGGUA